ensembl:snoRNA
UAAGCAGGUUGCAAUUACUGUGCUUCAUUUUGAGGACGCACUGCCAUUAUCCUGCUGAAAGACAAGCUGUGGUAAUCAUUUUUGAUUUUGCCUUUAAGAGGGUAAAAUCAUGACAGAUUGACAUGGGCAAUU